rnacentral:rRNA from 1 species
CCCAAUCCUGACACAGGGAGGUAGUGACAAUAAAUAACAAUACCGGGCUUUUUCAAGUCUGGUAAUUGGAAUGAGAACAAUCUAAAUCCCUUAACGAGGAUCCAUUGGAGGACAAGUCUGGUGCCAGCAGCCGCGGUAAUCCCAGCUCCAAUAGCGUAUAUUUAAGUUGUUGCAGUUAAAAAGCUCGUAGUUGGAUUUUGGUUAAGAGGGCGCGGUCGGCCGUUUGGUCUGUACUGCGUUGUCUUGACUUCCUGAUGAGGACAUGCUCUUGGUUAACGCUGAGACAUGGAGUCAUCGUGGUUACUUUGAAAAAAUUAGAGUGUUCAAAGCGGGCUUACGCUUGAAUAUAUUAGCAUGGAAUAACACUAUAGGACUCCUGUCCUAUCUCGUUGGUCUCGGGAUGGGAGUAAUGAUUAAGAGGAACAGUUGGGGGCAUUCGUAUUUCAUUGUCAGAGGUGAAAUUCUUGGAUUUAUGAAAGACGAACUUCUGCGAAAGCAUUUGCCAAGGAUGUUUUCAUUAAUCAAGAACGAAAGUUGGGGGCUCGAAGAUGAUUAGAUACCAUCCUAGUCUCAACCAUAAACGAUGCCGACUAGGGAUUGGUGGAUGUUAAUUGAUGACUUCACCAGCACCUUAUGAGAAAUCAAAGUUUUUGGGUUCCGGGGGGAGUAUGGUCGCAAGGCUGAAACUUAAAGGAAUUGACGGAAGGGCACCACCAGGCGUGGAGCCUGCGGCUUAAUUUGACUCAACACGGGGAAACUUACCAGGUCCA